GUGGCGACACAGAGCGGAACCCGAAAACCUGUCUCAGUUCGGAUUGGAGUCUGCAACCCGACUCCAUGAAGCUGGAUUCGCUAGUAAUCGCGCAUCAGCCAUGGCGCGGUGAAUACGUUCCCGGGCCUUGUACACACCGCCCGUCAAGCCAUGGAAGCCGGGAGUGCCUGAAGUGCGUGAGCGUAAGCAGCGCCCUAAGGUAAAACCGGUGACUGGGGCUAAGUCGUAACAAGGUACC
rnacentral:rRNA from 1 species